GGACCAAAUCAACAACUCCUCUUGAUGAAACUCUAAGUUAAUUCUCUAGAGAGAAGAAUGCACUUUGUCCACCCUGGGCAAUAGGAGCAAGAACAGGGGAGGAAGGAUGAGGAGCAGACAUCUGGCAACUGGAAAUAUAGCGAGCUUCAGAUUUCCAAAGAGAGCUCAGAAAAAAGCUUCAGCUCCCUACUUACGCUGAGAAACAACGCUAUUCGGUUUUCAUCAACACCAACUCUGUUAAAGAUUCUAUUUUUGAAAGUGAAAGAACUCCUCCUCCUUCCACUCCCCAACCUUGGACCCCGUCCUCACCCCCAACUGCUCUCAGCAAUGGAAAACCACAUCUCUUGCAUUCCAGAAUCUAACUGAUGCUGCACUCACCAAGGUCCUUGAGUAAAUCCUGCAAGUGAACCUCGGCCCACAUGUCGAGGACCCGAAGGAAUUGGACUGGGCCUAAAUUUGAUAUGUUCUUAUUACGAGACUUCAUGCUGCUGUCAAUUUCUGCCAUCGGAUCCAUCAACCUUUUAUCUUGGUAGUUGGGGAGGGGAACACUAGCUGAGCACUUUGUAGGAUGUCAGCUGAAAGAUUAAUUGCCUUGAGACUAAGGAAAAUGAAAAACACAGCAAAUAUC